rnacentral:rRNA from 1 species
CCUACGGGAGGCAGCAGUGAGGAAUAUUGGUCAAUGGACGAGAGUCUGAACCAGCCAAGUAGCGUGAAGGAUGACUGCCCUAUGGGUUGUAAACUUCUUUUAUCUGGGAAUAACAUGUUCCACGUGUGGGAUUUUGUAUGUACCAAAUGAAUAAGGACCGGCUAACUCCGUGCCAGGAGCCGCGGUAAUACGGAGGAUCCGAGUGUUAUCCGGAUUUUUUGGGUUUAAAGGGAGCGUAGGUGGAUUGUUAAGUCAGUUGGGAAAGUUUGCGGGUCAACCGUAAAAUUGCAGUUGAAACUGGCAGUCUUGAGUACAGGAGAGGUGGGCGGAAUUCGUGGUGUAGCGGUGAAAUGCUUAGAUAUCACGAAGAACUCCGAUUGCGAAGGCAGCUCACUGGACUGCAACUGACACUGAGGCUCGAAAGUGUGGGUAUCAAACAGGAUUAGAUACCCGAGUAGUC